UGACCUCGGAUCAGGUAGGGAUACCCGCUGAACUUAAGCAUAUCAAUAAGCGGAGGAAAAGAAACCAACCGGGAUUGCCUCAGUAACGGCGAGUGAAGCGGCAAGAGCUCAAAUUUGAAAGCUGGCCCCUUCGGGGUCCGCGUUGUAAUUUGCAGAGGAUGCUUUGGGUGCGGCCCCCGUCUAAGUGCCCUGGAACGGGCCGUCAGAGAGGGUGAGAAUCCCGUCUUGGGCGGGGUGUCCGUGCCCGUGUAAAGCUCCUUCGACGAGUCGAGUUGUUUGGGAAUGCAGCUCUAAAUGGGUGGUAAAUUUCAUCUAAAGCUAAAUACUGGCCGGAGACCGAUAGCGCACAAGUAGAGUGAUCGAAAGAUGAAAAGCACUUUGAAAAGAGAGUUAAACAGCACGUGA
rnacentral:ncRNA from 1 species